GUUUUAAGUACGUAUUAAUAAUGAUAAUAUGUAUACUAGUCUUGACCAAUUACGUGCCAGCAGUCGCGGUAAUACGUAAGAGACGAGCAUUAUUCAUAUUAAAUAGGUUUAAAGGGUACCCAGACGGUCAAAAUACCUUAACUAAAAGGAGUACUUGACUAGAGUUUUAUGUGAGAAGACCGUACUUGAGGUGGAGAGAUUAUAUUCUGUGAUACCAAGGGGACUGAUAAUGGCGAAAGCUGUCUUUUAUGUAAUAACUGACGUUGGAGGACGAAGGCAUAGAACACGAACAGGAUUUGACACCCUAGUAGUCUUUGCAGACAAUGAUGAAUGCCAUAGAAUAGUCGCUAAAAUAGCAACUUGUAUCGUAGAUAGAUGCGAGUGUAGUUUAAGCAGAAUUAGUCUAUAAAUGAAAAUGAAAGCAUUUCACCUCAAGAGUAAUGUGGCAACGC
rnacentral:rRNA from 1 species